GGGGAAUAUUGCACAAUGGAGGAAACUCUGAUGCAGCGACGCCGCGUGAGUGAAGAAGGUCUUCGGAUCGUAAAACUCUGUCCUUGGUGACGAAAAAAAUGACGGUAGCCAAGGAGGAAGCCCCGGCUAACUACGUGCCAGCAGCCGCGGUAAUACGUAGGGGGCGAGCGUUGUCCGGAUUUACUGGGCGUAAAGGGUGAGUAGGCGGUAAUAUGUGUCAGAUGUAAAAGGCUAUGGCUUAACCAUAGUUGGCAUUUGAAACUGUAUUACUUGAGUGCAGGAGAGGUAAGUGGAAUUCCUAGUGUAGCGGUGAAAUGCGUAGAUAUUAGGAGGAACACCAGUGGCGAAGGCGGCCACCUGGCCGACAAGUGACGCUGAGGUGCGAAAGCGUGGGGAUCAAACA
rnacentral:rRNA from 1 species